rnacentral:tRNA from 1 species
GGAAGCUUGGGUGAGCGGUUUAAACCAGCAGUCUUGAAAACUGCCGAGGAUGUGAGUCCUCCGUGAGUUCGAAUCUCACAGCUUCCGCCA